rnacentral:rRNA from 1 species
CUAAGUUUGAUGGCGACCGGCGCACGGGUGGGUAACACGUAUCCAACCUGCCGAUGACUCGGGGAUAGCCUUUCGAAAGAAAGAUUAAUACCCGAUGGCAUAGUUCUUCCGCAUGGUGGAACUAUUAAAGAAUUUCGGUCAUCGAUGGGGAUGCGUUCCAUUAGGUUGUUGGCGGGGUAACGGCCCACCAAGCCUUCGAUGGAUAGGGGUUCUGAGAGGAAGGUCCCCCACAUUGGAACUGAGACACGGUCCAAACUCCUACGGGAGGCAGCAUG